rnacentral:rRNA from 1 species
CCCGAAAGGGAGCCGUAACACAGGUGCUGCAUGGCUGUCGUCAGCUCGUGUCGUGAGAUGUUGGGUUAAGUCCCGCAACGAGCGCAACCCUUGUCCCUAGUUGCUACGCAAGAGCACUCCAGGGAGACUGCCGGUGACAAACCGGAGGAAGGUGGGGAUGACGUCAAGUCCUCAUGGCCCUUAUGGGUAGGGCUUCACACGUCAUACAAUGGUCGGAACAGAGGGUUGCCAAGCCGCGAGGUGGAGCCAAUCCCAGAAAACCGAUCGUAGUCCGGAUCGCAGUCUGCAACUCGACUGCGUGAAGCUGGAAUCGCUAGUAAUCGCGGAUCAGCAUGCCGCGGUGAAUACGUUCCCG